rnacentral:ncRNA from 1 species
GAUGAGUUUGAUUCUCGCUUAUCUCCUGAUUGUUCGUUAACGCACAUGAAAGUUUAGGUUUAGUUAAGUCAUAUGUAGAGCGGGAAGAGAAAGAAUGAUUGUGAGAUGCUUCUCAGUGCAUAGGAUUGGAAUAAUAAAGAGGUCUUUGAUCCAGUAAUCGACUGUGAGUUCAGGCUAAAAUUGUGCCAGCAGCCGCGGUUAUACUGAUAGAGCAAUUUGGGGUGCGUCAGAGUGGGGGUGUUAAGGGGAUCUAAGGAUGAGUUGAUAUUGCUUAGUUGAAAUGGUAAAAUCUGAUAGACUGCGGCGGGUUUGGCUCACUCAGGUGGUUUUAAUUCCCUAAAGCCCAGGGGUUAAAACAGGAUUAGAUACCCUGUUAUACCUGGGUGAAAUAAUCAUUAUCUCUUGAGUAGUAAACAGGUAUAAGCUCGAAACUCAAAGGAUUUGGCGGUAUCUAAGUCUAGUUAGAGGAACUUGUGCAGUAAACGAUAGUCCCCGAGCAUCUGACCCUGUUUUGUAACAUCAGUUUGUAUACCGCCAUUAUUAGGUAGUCUUUAUGGAGAGCUGCUACAAUUAGUUGUUGUUAAGUAUAUUAGGUCAAGGUGCAGCUUAUAGCAGGGAUGUCAUGAGUUACAUUGGGAUAAGAAGUUUAUACGGAUAGGUAGAGGUAGAGGAAGCCUUGAAGGUGGAUUUAAUUGUAAUCUAGGUCGAUGGUGCUUAGUUGAUAGGAGCUCUUGGAUAUGUACACAUCGCCCGUCGUUCUCGCUUUAAGGUGAGGUAAGUCGUAACAUAGUAGGUGUGUUGGAAAAGGCACCUAGGAGUAA